GACGGGGAAAGAUCUGUUCUGCUAUCGCUGUGGCGAGCCUGGGCAUGUCGCCAGGGACUGUGAGAGGACUGAGGAUGCGUGCUAUAACUGUGGUCGUGGAGGACACAUCUCCAGAGGCUGUAAGGAGCCCAAGAAGGAGAGGGAACAGGUGUGUUAGAGCUAUGGCGAGGCUGGUGUGUUAGAACUAGGGCGAGGCUGGUGUGUUGUAGUGUUAGAACUAGGGUGAGGCUGGUGUGUUGUAGUGUUAGAACUAGGGUGAGGCUGGUUUGUUGUAGUGUUAGAACUAGGGUGAGGCUGGUGUGUUGUAGUGUUAGUGUUAGAACUAGGGUGAGGCUGGUGUGUUAGAACUAGGGUGAGGCUGGUGUGUUAGAACUAGGGUGAGGCUGGUGUGUUAGAAUUAGGGUGAGGCUGGUGUGUUAGAACUAGGGUGAGGCUGGUGUGUUAGAACUAGGGUUAGGCUGGUGUGUUAGAACUAGGGUGAGGCUGGUGUGUUAGAACUAGGGUGAGGCUAGUGUGUUAGAACUAGGGUGAGGCUAGUGUGUUAGAACUAGGGUGAGGCUAGUGUGUUAGAACUAGGGUGAGGCUGGUGUGUUAGAACUAGGGUGAGGCUAGUAUGUUAGAACUAUGGCGAGGCUGGUGUGUUAGAACUAGGGUGAGGCUGGUGUGUUGUAGUGUUAGAACUAGGGUGAGGCUGGUAUGUUAGAACUAGGGUGAGGCUGGUGUGUUGUAGUGUUAGAACUAGGGUGAGGCUGGUGUGUUGUAGUGUUAGAACUAGGGUGAGGCUGGUGGGUUGUAGUGUUAGGACUAGGGCGAGGCUGGUGUGUUAGAACUAGGGUGUGGCCGGUGUGUUGUAGUGUUAGAACUAGGGUGAGGCUGGUGUGUUGUAGUGUUAGAACUAGGGUGAGGCUGGUGUGUUAGAACUAGGGUGUGGCCGGUGUGUUAGAACUAGGGUGAGGCUGGUGUGUUGUAGUGUUAGAACUAGGGUGAGGCCGGUGUGUUAGAACUAGGGUGAGGCUGGUGUGUUGUAGUGUUAGAACUAGGGUGAGGCUGGUGUGUUAGAACUAGGGUGUGGCCGGUGUGUUAGAACUAGGGUGAGGCUGGUGUGUUGUAGUGUUAGAACUAGGGUGAGGCCGGUGUGUUGUAGUGUUAGAACUAGGGUGAGGCUGGUGUGUUAGAACUAGGGUGUGGCCGGUGUGUUAGAACUAGGGUGAGGCUGGUGUGUUGUAGUGUUAGAACUAGGGUGAGGCUGGUGUGUUGUAGUGUUAGAACUAGGGUGAGGCCGGUGUGUUGUAGUGUUAGAACUAGGGUGAGGCCGGUGUGUUGUAGUGUUAGAACUAGGGUGAGGCUGGUGUGUUGUAGUGUUAGAACUAGGGUGAGGCCAGUGUGUUAGAACUAGGGUGAGGCUGGUGUGUUAGAUCUAGGGUGAGGCUAGUGUGUUAGAACUAGGGUGAGGCUAGUGUGUUAGAACUAGGGUGAGGCUGGUGUGUUAGAACUAGGGUGAGGCUGGUGUGUUAGAACUAGGGUGAGGCUGGUGUGUUAGAACUAGGGUGAGGCUAGUGUGUUAGAACUAGGGUGAGGCUAGUGUGUUAGAACUAGGGUGAGGCUAGUGUGUUAGAACUAGGGUGAGGCUGGUGUGUUAGAACUAGGGUGAGGCUAGUAUGUUAGAACUAUGGCGAGGCUGGUGUGUUAGAACUAGGGUGAGGCUGGUGUGUU